GUUAGGAAUAUUGGACAAUUGGCGCAAGCCUGAUCCAGCCAUGCCGCGUGAGUGAUGAAGGCCUUCGGGUUGUAAAGCUCUUUAGCCGAUGAUUAUAAUGACUGUAGUCGGAAAAUAAGCCCCGGCUAACUUCGUGCCAGCAGCCGCGGUAAUACGAAGGGGGCGAGCGUUAUUCGGAAUCACUGGGCGUAAAGCGUGCGUAGGCGGCUUUGCAAGUUGGGAGUGAAAGCCCAGGGCUCAACCCUGGAAUUGCUCUCAAAACUGCAAGGCUCGAAUUCGGGAGAGGAUAGCGGAAUUGUCAGUGUAGCAGUGAAAUGCGUAGAUAUUGACAGGAACACCAGUGGCGUAAGCGGCUAUCUGGACCGAUAUUGACGCUGAGGCACGAAAGCGUGGGGAUCAAACAGGAUUAGAAACCCUGGUAGUCC
rnacentral:rRNA from 1 species